rnacentral:rRNA from 1 species
CCUACGGGAGUCAGCAGUGGGGAAUAUUUGGCAAUGGAGGAAACUCUGACCCAGCAACGCCGCGUGAAUGAUGAAGGUCUUCGGAGUGUAAAGUUCUUUUCUAAGGGAAGAAGAAAGUGACGUUACCUUAUGAAUGAGACUAGGCUAACUACGUGCCAGCAGCCGCGGGAAUACGUAGGAGGCAAGCGGUAUCCGGCAUGACUGGGCGUAAAGGGUGCGUAGGUGGUUUGACAAGUUGGUAGCGUAACUCCGGGGCUCAACCUCGGAACUACUACCAAAACUGUCGGACUGGAGUGCAGGAGGGGCAAAUGGAAUUCCUAGUGUAGCGGUGGAAUGCGUAGAUAUUAGGAGGAACACCAGUGGCGAAGGCGAUUUGCUGGACUGCAACUGACACUGAGGCACGAAAGCGUGGGGAGCAAACAGGAUUAGAUACCCCAGUAGUC